GAUGUCUGAAGGUGCAGUGGACCUCCUUAGUGCCUGGGCAGCUGCAGCUCCGCGGACAGGAUGGAACACCGUGGACCAGCUACGGGACACGUGAAGGACAAUGAAGGUCAGUUUGUUUUGGGACCACAGAAGUUCUGCUAAGUGUGGGAUCCUGGUAAGAUUUUUUUUUCUUCUCUUUUUAUCUCUGGAGCUUCUUGAGUUUCUAUUUUAGAUCAAUAUUUAUUUAUUGACUUGAAAAAGGGUAAAAAAAAUUAAAAAAAAUCUGAACUUUUGAACUACUGCCUCUAAAUCUAAUGCAGGUAAACACCACAAAACCAGUGAAACAUGUAUGAAUAGAACAUCAAGUUUAGAGACAGCAAAAAGUUUACAGAAAUAAUAUCAGUAAUGUGAUUUGAGGGGUGAAUAACGUACUAUUUACAUACAGCAACUCUCUCACACACCCACACAAAUUCUUUCUCACACUGAUCUGUUGAAGAGGCAGGAAGAGAAAUGUUAACAAGUAACAAACGAAUUUCUCAAGUCAUUAGAGGCCAGUUUGGGGGUUUCUGGUUUCCACUUCAGUCUGUGUUCCAUCCAUACAGGGAGGAUAAUUCACCUAACAGCUGUGUGUGUGUGUGUGUGUGGGGGGGUAUGCGUGUGUGUGUGUGUUUGUGCGUAUUAGAGAGAGAGAACGAAACGGUAAAGUGUGUGAAGGGGUCGGAUUGUCAUGUUAUUAUCAUUCCGACAGCAGAUUGAUAAUCCUCCUCCUUGGAUCUGACUUUGGCGCUGUUGUCUUUCUCCAUCACAAAGCCACACGCUGCUCAGGUUUCCUGACCUGAAAAACGCAUUAAGCCGCCUGUGGGUCAGCGAUGCUUGCAUCUACCCCAUCUAUGAUCUCUAUCUGCUUUAUCUGGACUGGGAAGUGGAUGUAACUACAGGUGGACAGUCCAUCACAAGCUAACACACUCCCAUUACAGCACUACACAUACAUACUCAGUUUUAAGGGUAGUUCAGCGUGUUUACUGACUGUGGGAAACAAGAGUACCUUCAAACAACCAUGCAUACAAAAAGUCAAUGGUUGAGUAUGAAAUUAAAGUACAAAUUGACGCAGGAAGAAUUGACCCAAUUUAUGAUUACUGACUUUAGCAAAUAGGACUUGCAAAUUUCUCUAUCAAAAUUUGUUGACAAAAUUUUAAGCAAAAAAAGCAGCUAGUUGAAAUUGUGAUUUUAUUUUUCAACUUUGUCAAAUCUAAAUCUCUGCCAGCAUAUUUGUCCUGGUUUGCUAUUUUACAUCAGAUCUGGCUGAGGCAUUUCCCAGAUGGAGCAAGAGAGUAAGGUUGAGAUCUGUGUGUUUUCAAUUUGAGUCAUUAGCCAUGUUGCUUUUCCACUGAAACACACAAUAUCACUCUGUCACAUGAUGGAAGAGAACUGGGCUUCUAUCUAUGAGGAACGUGUCAUACACAUGAAGUACAAAAAGUUAAUUCUAAUUCACGGUGAAAGUGGAAACCCUCUCAAAUCUGUUCCCUAUAGUAAAUAAUGUCUUUCUCAUCUUGAAACAUUUUAUAAGAAAUGCUGGUAUGGGUUAAAUUUAGCAUAUUUUGGAAAUAAGGAUAUAAAUAAGGAGGAUUACACCCCAAAAAGGAGGAAACAAGAAGAUAUAAAGAUAGAAAUCUGGGUAGAAGGAAGGAGAAAACAAUGCAGUGCAAUGAAAAAAGACAAGGACAAAUGAAAACAGGCGAAGAGAUCCAAGGAAAUAGGAAUAAGACUUUUGUUGAACCAUAAAAAUCACAUGUGUCUGGCAGAGGUGAAAGUGGUGUACUCCUUAUAGAGGAGGAGCACAAACCAGUCUGACAUCCUGUGUAUCAAAAUCAUAUGCUGUCUGUCUGUCUGGCAAAGUGUGUCAUUGUCAGUACAGCUGUAAUAAGUCAUUUCUUUUCUUUACAUCUUUCUAUAGGGUGCUUUUUAGUGGAUCAUCUUUAGAAAUAUAAGGCUGACUAUAGUAUUCAUAAAUGUUCAUAAAUUGACAAUUAAUAGUUUCAUUCACAGCUUGAGCAUUGACUGGAGCAGAACUCUUUAUCUGUGCACCCUUUAUAAUUUAUCUUUCCAUUUGUAAAGUUGCACUUUUUCAACCUUUUUUUGGCCAAAUAGUGACCUAUUUGGCUACUUUUCUAUUUUGUACUUUUGUGCUAUUGGUUGCCUGCCUUAUGUCAUUUUGCAUGAACAAUAUGUUGCUCUUAUAUCAGUCAGGUCAAAAUUUCUCACCCACUUUGACAGCUAAUAACUGUAGAAGGAAAUACUACCAGAAAGACAUGUAGUUAUGUGACUCAAAAAACAAACAAUCAUGAUUUACCAGCAGGGUGUUUUAUUUUGAUUUGAUCAUGGUUUAUAAAAUGUUACAGUGGGAUUAGAAUCACAAACAAUGGAAAUAUGGUAUUAUUGGUGAAAUAUGUUAUUUUAGUUUGAUCAUGUCCUGGAAUCUGUCAGUUAGCCAAAACAGAGUUCAGAGACGUGUUCAGUGAUGUCAAAUUUUUAGCAAUAUUAUACAAUUAAACAGAAGGCUCAAGUGAAUGAUCGACUGACAUCAGUCCACAGAGAAGCAAAUUUUACAUUGCCAUGCACUGAAAGGUGCUGACCAAGAGAAUCCCCCAUGAUUCAAAAUAUAAACCUGCAAACUUGUCUAAAAAUGUUUGCCUCCCACAUGGACAAGCGCAGAAGAGCACCCCCUUCUGGAGAAAUGUUUGGGCACAUUGACAAGAGGACUAUAAAGAAAUCAUGGUGAAGCAUUCCAACUCAAGAAACUUAAGACCACUGUAAAAAUUUAAAGGCAUGGUGGUGGUAGCAUAAUCUGACAAUCGUUUUUUGCUGCCACUUGCUCAAAUGGGUGGAGUACAGAAAAUAGAGGCUUGUAUCCAAAUUAUUUAAC